CUUUUAUGCAUCCCUAGUAGUGAGGGAUCCUUAAAAAUGUUUUUUGAAUUAAUGAACAAUAUUACUGUAAUUAUCAUUCAUGGAGCUCUAAAUUCUUAAACUCUUCAUAAACACAUUUUCUCAUUUGAUUCUUAGAACAGUCUUGUGAAGUGGGUGGUAAUAUACCGCUCUCUUAGGGCAGGGACUGACCUUCCAAAGAGGAAGAACCAAUUCCAACCUAGAUUUAUGCGAUGCCAAAUGAAUGAAAAAUUAAUUUUCUACAGAAAUUUCUAGUGCUUGACCACUUCAAAGAUCACUGUAUGUUUAUUUGGAAUGAAUAUUACUCCUAGAAUAGCCAGCACUUUUUAAUUUUUGUUUUAAAGAAAAAUCUCUUCGUUUAAAUACAAAUAGUGAAAAAAAUGAAACUAAUGCUAACACCCAGAAAUUAACAAAAAUGUUAGGUCAAUCUUGUUAGGUAGAUAGUAUUAUUAUCUCCAUUUCAUAGGUGAGGAAACAAGGCAAGAAUGUGCAAGAAACAAGUAUAAUAUCUGAUUAUUUCUAAACAAAUACAAUUGAGUGAAUACAAUUGACUUAUUUUCUAACACUGAUGUUUAUUUUAGAAGGUUAAAAAUUUUUAUUUAUGGCACUGCCUUUAGUUUGCAAGGAAUUGAUUUCAAACCAGGAUGUAAGUCUAAAUUGAAGAUAAAGUGAGGAUAGUCCUUAGCUUAUUUAAGUACUUAAUGCUUAGGAACUGUAACUAAACAAUUGGGACACUUGGAAAGAUAUCACCUGGCUGCAAACUACAGUUAUUUGGUUAACAAAUUUUCACUGGUUUUGGGAAAAACAGACUUAGAAUAGGGAGAAAUACUCCUGUCGUCCAACAUUUUGGUGAUAAUCAAGGACAAAUUUGAAAAAGUUACCUUGCCAAUCAACUACCAAUGGAACAAUGGCUAACAUUGGAGUUUGUGCAUAAGUAUGUGUCAGAACUAUGCAUGGAUUAAGGAAGAAAGGAGACAAUAGGAGAAUGGAACAAAGGUUGUCCUGGGAAAUAAUAAUAAAUUAUUUUCCAAAAGAAGAGUGAAAUAUGGAACACAUGAGAUAAGUUAUAUUUGGUUGAUGAAGUUAUUCUGAAAAAACGCUAUUUGGAAAGGUGAACUUCUGAAACUACAAUAACAUUUCAUCUAUUCCCAGGAAGAAAUAUUCCUAAGGUGAAGAAACUGUGCAACAUGCCCAGAUCAUACAACAAGGAAGUAAUGGAAUUGAGAUUCUAUCCUGGGCGCCAAGCCAUUGCUCUAAAUCUCUAUGCUGCACAAGAUACAGCUGAGUAAAGAUUAGUAACAACAAAAAAAAACAACAAAAAAAGACAAGUCCCAGGGAAGGUUCCUGUGAGUCUUUAUGAUCCACUGGCCAUAAAUUAGAGAGAGGCAAUGAAGACUAAAUGCGGAGAGAUCCAGUUUGCUUCCUAGUCUUAGUACAUUGCCAUCUAGGCAUGAGUAGUCUCCUUGUCUCCGUUGUCUGAGAAUGCUAUCCUCUGGCUCUGAGGUCCAGAGCCACUAAGAGAGAAUGCUGACUUGAUGUCAGAAAAUCAAGACAAGGUCUAGUUUAAUUAUGGAACAUGAAACAAAAACUUUACUCCUCUUUUGAAGUAAAAAUGCAAAUCUGUUCCGUUUUAGAGUGGGAUUUCCCUCCUUUGUUAUAUGGCUUUUAAAUUACUCAUGUUCUUUACAAAUCAAAUAAAUAAAAGAUAAAAAGAAAAAUAAAUA
rnacentral:lncRNA from 1 species